UUUGCUGAUUCAAUUUUUUAUAGGUGUACAACUUAUUGUCAGCAAUUGCAGUAACUGGCUGUGCAGCCCUACCCUUUAUCAAUGUGAUUUUUCUAACACCAUUAAUCCCCACCCCUUUUGUUCUGUUUGGGGUAAGGUCUGUAUAUCCCUGUGCUAUUAGACAGCCAUUUGAUGGGAACCUCAGUUUAGAUAUAGUCAUUGAAGGGAUUUAGGGAUUUUUUUUUUUUUUAAGCAGGAGCUCCUUCUGUUCUCACUCUGGAGCCACAUGUUUCUUAGAAAUGGGUUGAGUAUAUCAAGGAUGACCUGAAUUUUCAGUGGCCACUUCAGGCAACUGGGUUGCCAUUUGCUUUAAUUUUUGUUGUGCUGUCUGAAAUUGUUAAUUGUCAUAAAAAGGAAAUCAUAGGGUAGAAAAUAGGCAUGAAGGCCAUAUAAGCCUGGUUGUUACAGGUGGCCUCACAGACCACUUAGUUUGUGGUUCUCCUUUCUGUCCCAUUGUUUGUUGUUAAAGCUUGGCUUUAAUUUUGUGGAAUUAAAUUAAAAAUACAUGUUUUACUUUUAUUUCAGAGGGCUGUGAUCAUCAAGUUUGUGUGUCAACUUGGCUGAGCCAUGAUCGUCAGUGCUUUGGCAGUUACGAUGUAGUUUGGCAGUAGUAUAAUAAUGUAAACACUACCAUGCUGUGAUCUGAUAUAAAGUGAUCACCUCCACGAUGGGAUCUGCUGUUGUAACCAAACGCCACUCAGGUUUUUGGCCUAUCUUAUUAGCAAAUUGAAAUAAGACUGACACUGAUCGCAACAGAAACAGAAAGUGGCAAGUUUAUUGUCUGCGCAUACAAGGAGUGUUUGGGGUCUAGUGACCAUAAGGCCACGUGCUCGCUGACUAAGGGGACUGGGGAGCUUUUUGCUUCCAGUGGCGUUGGGGGUUGGGUUUUGUACCCGGAAUUUUCUGCCCUUAGCCCUCCCAUUUGGGGGUCCGGGAGGGUCAGUUGAAGGAUGUGAUUUCUUCAAUCUGCGAAUGCUUCAGGGUAUAGCUGGGGCUAGUUCAGUGGAUGGAGCCACUAUCUGCUGCGACUUCCUGAAAAAUGUUGCUCAAAACAAGCUUGUGGUUAGCGAGACAGAGAGGGGGGAAGGGGUGUUGAUUGGAGUUUUCAAUACGGCGGAGCAGCCUGUUUUCCUGUGAGUAGCCAAUCAGUUGAAUGUGAGUUUCCUUGGGGCUGUGAUCUGCGUCCAAUAUAUGUGGACUUCCUGGCAAAGUUUGCUGACUUUUUGUUCACUCUGGAUCCUAUACCUGGCUCCUGUUAAUCUGACCUCUAGUUCUUGGGACUUGAGGUAGCAGCUUACCUGCCGUCUUGCCUGCCCAUCUUGAGAUUCGCCUGUCUCUGCAGUCUGUGAGCCAGAGGACUGCCAUCUGACCUGAUGAUCUUGAAACCCCCAAAUGACAUUCCUUUCUUUGUCUUGCUAAUCACAAGCUUGUUUUGAGCAACAUUUUUCAGGAAGCUGCAGCAGCACUAAACCGGCCCAAACUAGACCUUGGAGCAUGCGCAGAUCGAGGAGAUCGCAUCCUUCACCUGACCCUGGACCUGAUGUCACCAGAAAGGAAGGUAUUUCCCAGCCCAUGGUUUCAUCCGAGCCCUUUUGGGAAGCAAGAGGUCCCCCACACGGAUGUCCAACAGAGGAUGAUUCAGCAUCCAGACCUCCAAAUGUGGACAUGGGAGGGCUAAGGGUGGAAAGUUACGGGUACCAAACACAGCCCCCAGACACCAUUGGAAAUAAAAGCUCCCCAGCCUCCUCAGAUGAGGAGCACAUGAUCUUACGGUUGCUAGAUACUGGUUGCUCCUUGUCUGUGCAGACAAUAAACUGGCCACUUUCUGUUUCCCUUGCAAUUAGUGUCCAUUUUAUUUUGAUCCUCUAAUAGAACAGGACAAGAGCCCAAGCAGUGUUUGGUUACAAUCUUGGGUUCUCCAGCCCCUGCGGCUACGGGAGUCAGUUGAAAUCUCCAGCCUGAUCCAUGGACUUGAGACUUUCCAGCCUUUACAACCAUGUAGCCACUUCCUUGACACAAAUCUCCCCCUUUCUCUCUGCUUUACUGGUUUUGCUUCUCUAGAGAACUCAGCCUAAGACAAGGGCUUUUGUUAUCCAUGAAUUUAAAAAUUCCUGACCCCAAAUUAAUCCACCAGCAGUUUUUUUUUUUCUCUCAGCCAAAGUAGCUAAUCAACCUUUCUUUCUGCUCCAAAGAGUAGACCAUAACAAAACCAUUAACGGGUGAUUAAAUGAGAAGGACUCAGACUUCUUUAAUUUGAAUUUCUGCAGGUGGGUAGAGGGACAAAUCCGUCCAUGAAGUUAACCUUUUUAAUGUUAACUCAGUAGCCGUUAAGCAGUUCUUCACCACUAUAUUCUUUAAGCAAAACUUAUUUAAGUUUCUGUGAAUUCUCUAUUCUCUGAAAGCAACUUUCUCUUGCAUGAGGAAAUGUUCUUCCUAUUUGCAACUUUUUUAUUAAACCAAAUAUUGUGUUAUUCCCAUAUGAUUAUAUUUUAACAAUCUAGAGAUAAGGAUCUGUCUGUUUUUUCCACCCACCGUUAGGUAGUGUGGUUGAGGCUGUUUUGCCAACUUUUCUUGUGAUAAUUUUAAAUCUCAGUUCUUUUCUGUUUCAAGAAAAAUUGCUACUUUUAAAAAAAAAUUUUAUUGUACCUUAAGUGACAGUUUACAAAUCAAGUCAGUCUCUCAUACAAAAAUUUAUAUACACCUUGCUAUAAACCCUGGUGGCGUAGUGUUUAAGCGCUAUGGCUGCUAACCAAAAGGUCGGCAGUUCAAAUCCACCAGGCACUCCUUGGAAACUAUAUGGGGCAGUUCUACUCUGUCCUAUAGGGUUGCUAUAGGGUCGCCAUGAGUGGGAAUUGACUCGAUGGCAGUGGGUUUGGUUGGUUUUGGUAUAUACUCCUAGUUCCUCUCCCCAUAAUAAGACAGCACACUCCUUCCUGCCACUGUCUAUUUUCAUAUCUUUUAGGCCAGCUUCUGACCCCCUCUACCCUCUCAUCUCCCCUCCAGACAGGAGCUGCCUACAUAGUCUUAUGUGUCUACUUGAUCCAAGCUCACUCUUCACCAGUAUCAUUUUCUAUCCCAAAGUCCAGUCUAAUCCCUGUCUGAAGAGUUGGCUUCGGAAAUGGUUCCUGCAUUGGGCUAACAGACCAUGACCUCCGGGGUCCUUCUAGUCUCAGUUAGACUGUUAAGUCUGGUCUUUUUACAAGAAUUUGAAGUCUGCAUCUGAAAAAUUGCUACUUUUUCCUAUCUUAUGAUUUGGGCCUUUUGUAGCUACUUUGAGAAACUCUUUGUUAUAAAAUGGUUCAUUUAAAAUGUUCACUGAGAAAGAAUGGAUUGUUUAUCUGGAUUGGUUUAACAAGAACUCAAAAAAAAAAAAGGACAAAAGUUAUUCUAAAUUGUCUUUCUAAAAGAUUCUAUAAAGCAUGUGGAAGAUAGGGUUAUGAAAACGUAGUAUUUUUCUACCUCUGGAUGGUAUUAUCGAAUUAAACUAUAAUAUUCCUUCAGAAACUUAUUCCGAUUGGUUUAGAGAUAGAUAAGCACUUAUAUAAAUGGUGGCAUAGUGGUUAAGUGCUACAGCUGCUAACCAAAAUGUCGGCAGUUUGAAUCCACCAGGCACUCCUUGGAAGCUCUAUGGGACAGUUCUACUCUGUCCUAUAGGGUUCCUGAGUCAGAAUCAACUCGACAAUAGGUUUGGUUUGGAAUAUUCCCAAAGGAGUCCUGAUGACACAGUGUUUAAGCACUUGGCUCCUAACCAGAAGGUUAGUGGUUCAAAACCAUCCACCACCUCCAUGGGAGAAAGACCUGGCUACCUGCUCCCGUAAAGAUUACAGCCUAGAAAACGUUAUGGGGCAGUUCUACCCUGUCACAUGGGAUUGCUAUGAGUCAAAAUCUACUUGAUAGCACCUAAGAAGAACAACAGUAUUCUUAGGAAUUAAUGAAAGUGAAUUUGUUCUGACAAAACCUUUUAUGUUUCUUGGUACGUUGACUUAAAGACAGUCUCCAAAAUUUUAAGUAACUUAGGCUAGAAUGAGUAUGUGGAAUAUGUGUUGUUAAGGAGAAAGGAGGUAAAUUUCUCCUAAGGUUAAAAGAAAAAAAAAAAAAUCCUUUGCCACCGAGUCAAUUCUGACUCAUAGGCACCCUAUGAGACAGAGUAGAACUCGCCCCUUGUAUUUCCAAGGAGGGGCUGGUGGAUUCAAAGUUCCGACCUCGUGGUUAGCAGCCAAUCUCUUAACCAUUGUGCCACCAGGGCCAGAAUGAGGAGAAAAAAAAAGCAUAAGACAAAAUCAAGAUAAAAAAAAAGUUAAAAAAUUAGGAGUUAGGUAGGCUGGCGAAGAUUUCAUGGGUUUAUCUACAAAACAACUUCAAUAUUUUCUGUUUAUCACGAUGUUGUUUAUUGGUCCAGUUGUGAGGAUUUUUGUUUGUUUGUUUUUAUUGUGCUUUAGGUAAAGAGCAAAUUCAUUUCCUAUUUUAUACCCAAAUUGUUUAUAGUUUAUACACAAAUUGUUCCACGACAGGUUGUACUCCCCACAGUGUGUCAGCACUCUCCCCAUUAGCACCCUAAGUUUCCCGUUUCCAUUCAUCUGGUUUUCCUGCCCCUUUCUGCCUUCUCAUGUUUCUUUUGAGGCAUAUGUUGUCCUUUUGGUUUCACGUAGGUGAUUGUUCUAAGGAGCACUUACCUCACAGGUAUUAUUGUUUAUUUUAUAGGCCUAUUAUUUGGCCGAAAAGUUAUCUCCAGGAACGGUUUCAGUUCCAAGUUAGGAAGGUAUCCAAGGACUGCAGUCUCAGGGGUUCCUCCAGUCUCUCUAGCAAAUCUAGUAUUUUUUAUGAAUUUGAAUUUUGUUCUAUAUUUUUUCCCCCACUCUAAGCAGGACCUUCUAUUGUGAUGCUGGUCAGAGCAGUUUGUAGUGGUAGCCAGGCACCAUCUGGGACUUCUGGGUCUCAGGCAGGUGGUGGCUGUGUUUCUUGUGGAACAUUAGUCCUUUGGACUAAUUGUUUCCUUGAGUCUUUGGUUCUCCUCACUCUCCUUUGCUCCGGAUGAAAAGAGACCAAUAGUUGUAUCUUAGGUGGCCACUCACAACCUUUUAAGAUGCUAUUCACCAAAAUGGAAUGUAGAAAGUUUUCUUUAUUUGCUAUGUUGUGCCAAUUGACCUAGAUAUCCCCCCGGGACCAUAAUCCUUAGCCUUCAAGCCCCGUAACUCUGUCUCACAAGGUGUUUGGUUAGAUCUAGGUUGUUUCCAUGACUGUGCCCCUGUGUGCUUUAUUGUAAAAUUUGUACAGGCAUACCCUGGAGAUAACUGCAGGUUCAGUUCCAGACCACUGCAAUAAAGUGAAGACUGCGAUAAAUGGAAAAUUAUGGCAAACUUGUGGUCUAUCAGAUUCUGUCAGACUUGAGGGUGAAGAUAUUGGGCAUGCAGCUGGAUAUCGAAUUUUGAAGUUCAGAGGAGAGUUCUGAGCUGGAAACAGCUCCUACCAUGGAAAUAAAGGAAGAGCAAAAUUUUAAGAAGCGAACAAAAUUGUGAAUUGAUUUUCCUCUUCUUGGUAUUCUGAAAGCAUUUAUUGUCUUUGUCUUUCAUUUUUGAAAACCAUUUUUAUUGCAAUAUAAUUUACACACAAUAAAAUUUACCCGUUUGAAAUAUACAAUUUGCUGAGUUUGAUGAAUGGCUAUAUUUCUGUAACCACGCCACAAUCAAGAUACAGAGCUUUUUCAUCACCCCGGAAGUUCCUUGGUGCCCCUUUGCAGUCAAGCCCCUCCCCCAGGCAACUCCUGAUAUCAUUUCUGUCCCUGUAGUUUUGUCUUUUCUAUAACUUCAUAUAAGUGGAAUCAUACAGUGUAUAGUCAUUUUGGUAUGCUUCAUUCAUCAAAAAUAAUACUGUCAAGAUUCAUCCAUAUUUCAGUAGUUUAUUCUUUUUAAUGCCAAAUAUUAGACUGCUCUGUGAAUGAAGCACGAUUUGUUGACUCAC